AAAUUGAAGAGUUUGAUCAUGGCUCAGAUUGAACGCUGGCGGCAGGCCUAACACAUGCAAGUCGAGCGGUAGCACAGAGAGCUUGCUCUCGGGUGACGAGCGGCGGACGGGUGAGUAAUGUCUGGGAAACUGCCUGAUGGAGGGGGAUAACUACUGGAAACGGUAGCUAAUACCGCAUAAUGUCGCAAGACCAAAGUGGGGGACCUUCGGGCCUCAUGCCAUCAGAUGUGCCCAGAUGGGAUUAGCUAGUAGGUGGGGUAACGGCUCACCUAGGCGACGAUCCCUAGCUGGUCUGAGAGGAUGACCAGCCACACUGGAACUGAGACACGGUCCAGACUCCUACGGGAGGCAGCAGUGGGGAAUAUUGCACAAUGGGCGCAAGCCUGAUGCAGCCAUGCCGCGUGUGUGAAGAAGGCCUUCGGGUUGUAAAGCACUUUCAGCGGGGAGGAAGGCGAUAAGGUUAAUAACCUUGUCGAUUGACGUUACCCGCAGAAGAAGCACCGGCUAACUCCGUGCCAGCAGCCGCGGUAAUACGGAGGGUGCAAGCGUUAAUCGGAAUUACUGGGCGUAAAGCGCACGCAGGCGGUCUGUCAAGUCGGAUGUGAAAUCCCCGGGCUCAACCUGGGAACUGCAUUCGAAACUGGCAGGCUAGAGUCUUGUAGAGGGGGGUAGAAUUCCAGGUGUAGCGGUGAAAUGCGUAGAGAUCUGGAGGAAUACCGGUGGCGAAGGCGGCCCCCUGGACAAAGACUGACGCUCAGGUGCGAAAGCGUGGGGAGCAAACAGGAUUAGAUACCCUGGUAGUCCACGCCGUAAACGAUGUCGAUUUGGAGGUUGUGCCCUUGAGGCGUGGCUUCCGGAGCUAACGCGUUAAAUCGACCGCCUGGGGAGUACGGCCGCAAGGUUAAAACUCAAAUGAAUUGACGGGGGCCCGCACAAGCGGUGGAGCAUGUGGUUUAAUUCGAUGCAACGCGAAGAACCUUACCUGGUCUUGACAUCCACAGAACUUUCCAGAGAUGGAUUGGUGCCUUCGGGAACUGUGAGACAGGUGCUGCAUGGCUGUCGUCAGCUCGUGUUGUGAAAUGUUGGGUUAAGUCCCGCAACGAGCGCAACCCUUAUCCUUUGUUGCCAGCGGUUAGGCCGGGAACUCAAAGGAGACUGCCAGUGAUAAACUGGAGGAAGGUGGGGAUGACGUCAAGUCAUCAUGGCCCUUACGACCAGGGCUACACACGUGCUACAAUGGCAUAUACAAAGAGAAGCGACCUCGCGAGAGCAAGCGGACCUCAUAAAGUAUGUCGUAGUCCGGAUUGGAGUCUGCAACUCGACUCCAUGAAGUCGGAAUCGCUAGUAAUCGUAGAUCAGAAUGCUACGGUGAAUACGUUCCCGGGCCUUGUACACACCGCCCGUCACACCAUGGGAGUGGGUUGCAAAAGAAGUAGGUAGCUUAACCUUCGGGAGGGCGCUUACCACUUUGUGAUUCAUGACUGGGGUGAAGUCGUA
rnacentral:rRNA from 1 species